rnacentral:rRNA from 1 species
AGAGUUUGAUCCUGGCUCAGAGCGAACGCUGGCGGCAGGCUUAACACAUGCAAGUCGAGCGGGCGUAGCAAUACGUCAGCGGCAGACGGGUGAGUAACGCGUGGGAACAUACCUUUUGGUUCGGAACAACACAGGGAAACUUGUGCUAAUACCGGAUAAGCCCUUACGGGGAAAGAUUUAUCGCCGAAAGAUUGGCCCGCGUCUGAUUAGCUAGUUGGUGAGGUAACGGCUCACCAAGGCGACGAUCAGUAGCUGGUCUGAGAGGAUGAUCAGCCACAUGGGGACUGAGACACGGCCCAAACUCCUACGGGAGGCAGCAGCUGGGGAAUAUNGGACAAUGGGCGCAAGCCUGAUCCAGCCAUGCCGCGUGAGUGAUGAACGCCCUAAGGAUUGUAAAGGCGCUUUUGUGCGGGAAGAUAAUGACUGUACCGCCCGCA